UACAGAGGGGGCAAGCGUUGUUCGGAAUUACUGGGCGUAAAGGGCGCGUAGGCGGCCGAUCAAGUCAGAUGUGAAAGUCCUGGGCUUAACCUGGGGACUGCAUUUGAUACUGAUUGGCUUGAAUGCAGGAGAGGAUAGCGGAAUUCCCAGUGUAGAGGUGAAAUUCGUAGAUAUUGGGAAGAACACCGGUGGCGAAGGCGGCUAUCUGGACUGUGAUUGACGCUGAGGCGCGAAAGCGUGGGGAGCAAACAGG
rnacentral:rRNA from 1 species